rnacentral:rRNA from 1 species
AGGCAGCAGUAGGGAAUCUUCCGCAAUGGACGAAAGUCUGACGGAGCAACGCCGCGUGAGCGAUGAAGGCNUUCGGGUCGUAAAGCUCUGUUGUUAGGGAAGAACAAGUAUCGGAGUAACUGCCGGUACCUUGACGGUACCUGACCAGAAAGCCACGGCUAACUACGUGCCAGCAGCCGCGGUAAUACGUAGGUGGCAAGCGUUGUCCGGAAUUAUUGGGCGUAAAGCGCGCGCAGGCGGUUCCUUAAGUCUGAUGUGAAAGCCCCCGGCUCAACCGGGGAGGGUCAUUGGAAACUGGGGAACUUGAGUGCAGAAGAGGAGAGCGGAAUUCCACGUGUAGCGGUGAAAUGCGUAGAGAUGUGGAGGAACACCAGUGGCGAAGGCGGCUCUCUGGUCUGUAACUGACGCUGAGGCGCGAAAGCGUGGGGAGCGAACAGGAUUAGAUACCCUGGUAGUCCACGCCGUAAACGAUGAGUGCUAAGUGUUAGAGGGUUUCCGCCCUUUAGUGCUGCAGCAAACGCAAUAAGCACUCCGCCUGGGAGAC